rnacentral:rRNA from 1 species
CGAAUGGGGAGANUCAUCGUCAGCUCAUUUUAUAUAUAUGCUAGCCUAUGAUAUGGGUUAUUAUGGAUUAAUCUCUGUAGUAUUGCCUAUACAUUCUUGUAUAUUUAUUUUGUAAAAUGUUGUCGGCGUGCACUUCUCCCCCUAGUAGGACGUCGCGACCCGUUGAGCGGUAAGUCUACGACCCAAGUGGGAGCUUUUAAUAAAUAUUUUUAUAUUAAUUGAAAACCCUUGGUGUCCUGACUUGCACUCGUCGGUAUUCGUAUGGUAUUGAGCCGCAAAUUAUAUAUGCGUCCAUAUCUGUCGCAAGCGAGGUUAUAUUACUGAUAGUACGGACUUUGUGCCGUCGUUGGUAUUAACCAGCUGUUGGCUGUACAGAAGUCUAGGACUGGCUCUUUUGUAUAUAAGAAAUUAUAUAUAAUACCGGUCAGCGAUGCUACUGCUUUGGGUACUUUCAGGACCCGUCUUGAAACACGGACCAAGGAGUCUAACAUGUACGCAAGUCAUUGGGAUUUUUAUAAAUUAAACCUAAAGGCGUAAUGAAAGUAAAGGUCGUCCCUGUGUCGACUAAGGGAGGAUGAGCUGUGAGCAGCUUCGCACUCUCGGGGCGUCUCAUUCUCAUUUGCGAGAAGANGCGCACCUAGAGCGUACAC